rnacentral:rRNA from 1 species
CCUACGGGUGGCAGCAGAGGGGAAUAUUGCGCAAUGGGCGAAAGCCUGACGCAGCGACGCCGCGUGAGGGAUGAAGGUCUGCGGAUCGUAAACCUCUGUCAGCAGGGAAGAAAGGUCACGGUGCUAAUCAGCAGUGAAUUGACGGUACCGGCAAAGGAAGCACCGGCUAACUCCGUGCCAGCAGCCGCGGUAAUACGGAGGGUGCGAGCGUUCAUCGGAAUUACUGGGCGUAAAGCGCUCGUAGGCGGUAUGUCAAGUCAAGGGUGAAAUCCCCGCGCUCAACGUGGGAACUGCCUUUGAAACUCGCAACCUGGCGUGUGUGCUAGGCUAGUGGCUUUCCAGUUGU